rnacentral:pre_miRNA from 1 species
UGUGAUGUGCAUGUGGGCUUUCCGAUAUAUGACAGGUGGCCCACACUUACAUCACUUGC